GUGUAAUGUAGGUAAUGUAGCCUAGGUCAGUGUAAUGUAGCCUGGGUCAGUGUAAUGUAGGUAAUGUAGCCUAGGUUAGUGUAAUGUAGGUAAUGUAGCCUAGGUCAGUG